AGAGUUUGAUCAUGGCUCAGAACGAACGCUGGCGGCAUGCCUAACACAUGCAAGUCGAACGCUUGUCCGGCUUCGGCCGGACAGGAGUGGCGCACGGGUGAGUAGCGCGUGGGAACCUGCCCUGUUGUGGGGGAUAACCGAGGGAAACUUCGGCUAAUACCGCAUGCGCCCGGGGAAACUCGGGGAAAGAUUUAUCGCAGCAGGAGGGGCCCGCGUCGGAUUAGCUAGUUGGCGGGGUAACGGCCCACCAAGGCUCCGAUCCGUAGCUGGUCUGAGAGGAUGAUCAGCCACACUGGGACUGAGACACGGCCCAGACUCCUACGGGAGGCAGCAGUGGGGAAUAUUGGACAAUGGGCGCAAGCCUGAUCCAGCAAUGCCGCGUGAGUGAUGAAGGCCUUAGGGUUGUAAAGCUCUUUCGCCCGCGACGAUGAUGACGGUAGCGGGAGAAGAAGCCCCGGCUAACUUCGUGCCAGCAGCCGCGGUAAUACGAAGGGGGCGAGCGUUGUUCGGAUUUACUGGGCGUAAAGGGCGCGUAGGCGGCCCUCCUUGUCGCGUGUGAAAGCCCCGGGCUCAACCUGGGAAUUGCGCGCGAAACAGGGGGGCUUGAGUUCGGGAGAGGAGCGUGGAAUUCCCAGUGUAGAGGUGAAAUUCGUAGAUAUUGGGAAGAACACCGGUGGCGAAGGCGGCGCUCUGGACCGAGACUGACGCUGAGGCGCGAAAGCGUGGGGAGCAAACAGGAUUAGAUACCCUAGUAGUCC
rnacentral:rRNA from 1 species